rnacentral:rRNA from 1 species
CCUACGGGGGGCAGCAGUGGGGAAUUUUGGACAAUGGGCGAAAGCCUGAUCCAGCCAUUCCGCGUGCAGGAUGAAGGCCCUCGGGUUGUAAACUGCUUUUGUACAGAACGAAAAAGCUCUGGUUAAUACCUGGAGUCCAUGACGGUACUGUAAGAAUAAGCACCGGCUAACUACGUGCCAGCAGCCGCGGUAAUACGUAGGGUGCAAGCGUUAAUCGGAAUUACUGGGCGUAAAGCGUGCGCAGGCGGUGAUGUAAGACAGUUGUGAAAUCCCCGGGCUCAACCUGGGAACUGCAUCUGUGACUGCAUCGCUGGAGUGCGGCAGAGGGGGAUGGAAUUCCGCGUGUAGCAGUGAAAUGCGUAGAUAUGCGGAGGAACACCGAUGGCGAAGGCAAUCCCCUGGGCCUGCACU